rnacentral:rRNA from 1 species
GAUGAACGCUGGCGGCGUGCCUAAUACAUGCAAGUCGAGCGAACAGAUAAGGCGCUUGCUCCUUUGACGUUAGCGGCGGACGGGUGAGUCACACGUGGGUAACCUACCUAUAAGACUGGUAUAACUCCGGGAAACCGGGGCUAAUGCCGGAUAACAUUUGAACCGCAUGGUUUCUAAGUGAAAGAUGGUUUUGCUUUCACUUAUUGAUGGACCCGCGCCGUAUUAGCUUGUUGGGAAGGUAACGGCUUACCAAGGGAACGAUACGUAGCCGACCUGAGAGGGUGAUCGGCGACACUGGAACUGAGACACGGUCCAGACUCCUACGGGAGGCAGCAGUAGGGAAUCUUCCGCAAUGGGCGAAAGCCUGACGGAGCAACGCCGCGUGAGUGAUGAAGGUCUUCGGAUCGUAAAACUCUGUUAUUAGGGAAGAACAAAUGUGUAAGUAACUGUGCACGUCUUGACGGUACCUAAUCAGAAAGCCACGGCUAACUACGUG